rnacentral:rRNA from 1 species
CGGCAACAGCUCAAAUUUGAAAUCUGGCCUCGGCCCGAGUUGUAAUUUGCAGAGGAAGCUUUGGGCGCGGCGCCUUCCGAGUCCCCUGGAACGGGGCGCCAUAGAGGGUGAGAGCCCCGUAUGGUUGGACGCCUAGCCUGUGUAAAGCUCCUUCGAC